AAACCCGGACGGGAACAGUGCUCUGCUCUCUCCGUCUAAUGGCCAGCUGGUAGCCCUGCAGACCCAAACACUUGAAAUAGGUCGGGACAACAGCGUUUAAAGUCAUUUCUGCAAGAAAAUAGCAUGGCAACAUAUUACUGUGUAGACAGAUUGCUGCUUGACUGCCACAGCCCCUGCCAGGACAAUGUUCUCCCACGGGGGUGGAGAGGCGAGCGGGAUCAGGGACUCCCCCAGUGCAAAACCAGCCUGCAGGCCGGCUCACAGCCGUAUCUUAAGCAGCCGACGUACUUGAUGUAUGCAUUCGCAAUUGUGCUUAUGUGUAUCCAGACGUCAGCAAUUAUAUUUUUGAGUUUCAAAUAUUCACAAAUGGAGACUGAGAUGGCGCAGCACCGGGCUGUCAUUAGGCGUUUGGAGGACGAGGUUGGUUUCGCUAGGAGCAGGAACGACGGUGCACGUGACCCAAAGAAAUACGACACCCCACAGGUUGACGGGCUCCCUCGUGAGGUCGACCAUCAUGACGGUUAUCUGUCAUACAUUCGCGCGCGAGACGGAAUCAUUGGCGAGCAGAGCUGGUCUUCCAGACGGUUGCUAGGAAAGCGAAAUCGACGAAAUAGUAUAAAUCCA